rnacentral:rRNA from 1 species
ACAUGCCUACAUCAUAGUGUUAAUUCACUAGAUCCCAUUAGAGCUCCACAGUUAAGCACACUCAAGCUAGAGUAGUACUGGGAUGGGUGACUUCCCGAGAAUUCCUAGUGUUUUACAUGCU